GGGUCAGGAGGUUGGUCGUGCCACCGGUACGUACUGGUCUCACUGAUUCCUCCUUCCUGAAGAACCGUAAUGCCAUUAAUUUGGUGGUGCGGGGAAACAGGACUGUUACUUUGAAAAAAUUAGAGUGUUUAAAGCAAGCUAACGCUUGAAUACAUUAGCAUGGAAUAAUGAAAUAGGACGAUCGAUCCUAUUUUGUUGGUUUCUAGGAUUGACGUA
rnacentral:rRNA from 1 species